CUACGGGUGGCACCAGUGAGGAAUAUUGGGCAAUGGACGAAAGUCUGACCCAGCCAUGCCGCGUGCAGGAUGAAUGCCCUAGUUGGUUGUAAACUGCUUUUGUACAGGAAGAAACCCUCCAACGUGUUGGAGGCUGCCGGUACUGUACGAAUAAGCAUCGGCUAACUCCGUGCCAGCAGCCGCGGUAAUACGGAGGAUGCAAGCGUUAUCCGGAUUUAUUGGGUUUAAAGGGUGCGUAGGCGGAACUAUAAGUCAGUGGUGAAAUCUUGCGGCUUAACCGUAAAAUUGCCAUUGAAACUGUAGUUCUUGAGUUCAGUUGAGGUAGGCGGAAUGUGUUGUGUAGCGGUGAAAUGCUUAGAUAUAACACAGAACACCGAUUGCGUAGGCAGCUUACUAAACUGUUACUGACGCUGAGGCACGAAAGCGUGGGGAGCGAACAGGAUUAGAUACCCGCGUAGUC
rnacentral:rRNA from 1 species